GCCAUCUACUUCACAGGAGCUGCUACUGCAUCCCGGACUGGAAAAUUAGUGGUGAGCAGGAGCAACAUACCUUGCAAUCAUCAGCUGCCACUUCUGGCCUGAGCUGCCCCCCUGCCUCAAACAUCUGCCCGUUCCAGGCCUUGAAGCGCACGGCUUUGUCCGAGGGUUUCUCGGAGGAGCCUUCCCGCCAGACGGAGGUGUUCAGGCAGUGGAUGGUGAUGUGCUGCACCACCUCGGAGCUCAGCAGGCGCAGGAAGUUCAUCUGGACUCUACCGAUGUCAAAAUCCAGCUGUGAAGGUGGCAGAAAGCAAAAUGCAGGAGUGACCUGAACAUAAAUUAAUUCAACAAAGGAUUUGGGAGCAGCGUGUUUGCAAAAUUACUGGUCUGGUGAAGGUUAUGGGUUCAUUAAAC